UCUCCACAACUACACACCUCUCACAUUUCUUUUUUUUUUUUUUGGUUACAAAAAAAAAUGAAAAAUCAAUUUCAAGAAUUAAACUUUAGGGAAUUUAUGGAUGUGUUAACAAAGCAAGAACAAUAUUUUUUUCAGAAAAAAGCAGCUGAGAAUAAAAAUGAGAAAUCAUAUAUUAAUGAAAUUUUUGGUGAGCUUUAUUUUGAAGAAAAUAAUGGUGAGUCAUCCAUAGAACACAUUUUUCCUCCAAUGCCAAAAAAAAAUUCUAGUGAAAAUAAUGCUAAUAAAGGUAAAGGAGGAAAAAAAUCAAAUGAUGCUAAGAAGGAAGAUGUUAGCUAAUGUUAUUAGUGUGAUGCAUGUUUGUAUCUUGUCUUCAUUAUUAAGCUAAAUAAACAUCAUCGAUAUAUCUUGUUGACAAGUCGUUUAAUUAUUUUUAUCUGAUUUAAAGAUCUAUAUUUAGUUA